rnacentral:rRNA from 1 species
AUUGAACGCUGGCGGAAUGCUUUACACAUGCAAGUCGAACGGCAGCACGGGGCAACCUGGUGGCGAGUGGCGAACGGGUGAGUAAUACAUCGGAACGUGCCCAAUCGUGGGGGAUAACGUAGCGAAAGUUACGCUAAUACCGCAUACGAUCUACGGAUGAAAGCGGGGGAUCGCAAGACCUCGCGCGAAUGGAGCGGCCGAUGUCAGAUUAGGUAGUUGGUGGGGUAAAGGCUCACCAAGCCGACGAUCUGUAGCUGGUCUGAGAGGACGACCAGCCACACUGGGACUGAGACACGGCCCAGACUCCUACGGGAGGCAGCAGUGGGGAAUUUUGGACAAUGGGCGCAAGCCUGAUCCAGCCAUUCCGCGUGCAGGAUGAA